GCCUUCGUGGUGUAAUGCUCAGCACACUGAGCCGGUAUUUCAGAGGUCCGUGGCUCGAUCCCCGGCGAAGGCA
rfam:Stegodyphus mimosarum contig88530, whole genome shotgun sequence.